UUUAUUUAUUUGACAGAGAGAAAUCACAAGUAGGCAGAGAGGCAGGCAGAGAGAGAGAGAGGAGGAAGCAGGCUCCCUGCUGAGCAGAGAGCCCGAUGUGGGACUCGAUCCCAGGACCCUGAGAUCAUGACCUGAGCCAAAGGCAGCAGCUUAACCACUGAGCCACCCAGGCGCCCAGAGAAAAUUUACUUCUACAGAAAACCAUGGACCCAGAGAAUUCUUUAGAGUCUACAGCCAUACAACCCUGAAUGCAUCCAGUCUCGUCUGAAACAUCUUGCAGAAGGACAUGAAGAAAGCAUAGAGGAAGAGGAUGAAUUGAUUCUGAACUUGACUAAUUUACUCUAUUAGAAAGAAGCUAAAGAAGAAAUUUAUUGUUUUUACUUGUUUGGACUUAUGGAGAGUAAAAAAAUAACUCUGAAUGUA